ACUUUCAACAACGGAUCUCUUGGUUCUGGCAUCGAUGAAGAACGCAGCGAAAUGCGAUAAGUAAUGUGAAUUGCAGAAUUCAGUGAAUCAUCGAAUCUUUGAACGCACAUUG
rnacentral:rRNA from 2 species